GACCUGGAAGCCUUUCUGCAGGCCUCUGUUUGAUAUGUUUGAUAUAUUAGGUUGUUAUUCUGUCCAACUAUAUAUCAAACAUAUUCCUACAGUGUCCUGCUCUGUCUCCAGACUCGUG
rnacentral:precursor_RNA from 8 species